rnacentral:tRNA from 1 species
UAUUUUAGUGGUAGAGCGGCCGGUAUCAGAAGCAGUCGGUGCCAGUUCGAGUCCCACUAAA